ensembl:lncRNA
AUUCUUGUGUGCCACUGGUGUUCUUUCCACUUUAUACGAAAGCAAGUAGCCAUGCUUCAGUUGUGUGUUUGGCCCUUUCAGUAUUAGACAAUCAUUCUACAAGAGCUUUUCCUCUCUUUGAGAUGUCAUGCAGCACUGUUGGUGUCCAGUUUCUGUCCUCAGUACACAAGGAGAGUGAUAGAUGAGGUGUAUUAAAGUGAGCAGAGUUUGCAUUUUACCUGGUGCGCACGAGUGGGGUCUUUUCAGAGCUUUGGUGGCUCUCCCGUGUUUCCUAUUACCCAUGGAUUUUCCCUAAGCCUUCCUAUCACAUUAUAAAUAACAGUUCAUCUAAAGAGCCACUUUUCUUUCAAUAUCAGUAACAUUUGCCUACAUAAGUUUUCAUUUAUUUGUGUUUUAUUUAUUACAGGGCUGCUAUUUUCAUAAUGUACAUGAACAAUGUCACAGAACUUUUUUAAUUUUUUGGAAUAAUUAUAAGUAUCAGUAAAGGAAUUGAAAGACAGGAUUGCAUUUAAUAGAUAAAAUGUUUAGGCAAUAAUUGAACAAAAGAAUCCUGGCAUAUUUCUAACACUAAUGGCAAUUUACCUUUGGUAUUUAUUUUCAGUAGUAAAGACCCAGCUUGAAUGUAAAUUUUGUAUAGUGUAAGUAUGAAGAACAUAGUGCAACUGUACAGGUAGUCACCAGUUAUUGUGAUAUAAUAAAUAAUUGGGCUAUUUUGAUGAAGAAAACUUUGUUCAUUUGUUUCUACUUUCUAAUAGAGAAAUUGCCACGAUUCCUCUGCUUUUUGACAUUUCGUAUGACUUUUUUCGGGUGGGAAUAAAAAGCUGUGAAAUUGUUCAACCUACUUUGUAACCAAAGAAGCAAAGCUGUGUAAUGGAGUUUUUUUUUUUUUUUUUAUAAUGCACAUUCUUUAUGUAUUUUUAUUUAGUGUUUUCUCGGUCACAAUUUUCUUUGCCGUCUAGCAUGAUCUGCAUGACCUAUAAUCUUUGAACCACUUUCGUACCUCAUGUUUUUAUCCAGCACUCUUAUUGUAAUAUGUACUAGUCUGUGAACAACGUCAAAUAAAAAAGAACGAACAGGUAGUGUGGUGGAGCUGAGCUAGUGUAUUAUACACUAGUUGUAAAAAUAAAAAUGAAGUGAGCCAUCUUUUGUUCAUUUAAAAUGGUGUUUUGAAUUUCGUAUGCAGAAAACGUUUUGUUACAUUGCAGAUUUUAAUGUAUUUAAUAAAUGCAACAUGCAGAUUAAAAAA